UCUACUCAUGAUUGUGCCAUUGUAACUAUGGAAUCCACUACCAGGAUCCCAAUCUAUGUUGUAUUUUUUAAUAACAGCACUUCACUAGACCAUUGUACCCUCGCUGUCAUGACUACCAUGCAAACACUCAUACAUGCAUCAAUUAUGUAAUAUUUAACUACCAAAAAAGAUGAUAUUACGACAAGUAAAUGACCUAUUAAAAUGCUUUAAGUUUUAGAUCUUUGAAAAGAGUGAUAAAAUAUCCAUGCAAACAUUCCUCAUCAGAGAAAAUUCCAAUUUCUUAUUCUGAGAGUGGACUAAUGUUAGGAUUUGAUGCCU
rnacentral:lncRNA from 1 species